UCACCGCCAACCACCAUAGAAUUAUUUACACAAUACUUUCCUUAUUAGUUAUCAUUUACGACAUUUAUUAGCCCUUCCAUUUGUGGGCUAUAUUUGCUCGGUUUAAUGUACAACAGACUGGCAAAUAUUGUUAUCUUAAUCUACGUGCCAAGACACGAGCUUGUUUAUUUCAUUAGACAUCGGUUCAACACAGAGGCUUCAACAGUCUUCCCUUAUUCUGCCAACGGAUUGGAUAGUUUCUGGCAGACAUGGCCGGACGGGUGAUCGUGCUGACAGGAGGCUGCGGUUAUGUCGGCAGCCGCAUGGUGGCGAAGAUGGCUAGAGAAGAGCAGACGGACGUGAGUGAGCUCCGCGUCGUGGACGUCAACACAAAAGCCUAUCGGGCGCCUGAGCCAACAAACGGGAUGAGGAUAAAGCUGAUGGACGGAGACAUUCGGGACGAGGCCCGGAUGCUGGAGAUCUGCACGGGGGCCGACCUCGUCAUCCACACCGCCGCGCUGAUUGACUUCCUCGGACAGGUUCCCGACAAAGUCACGUGGGACGUCAACGUCAAUGGUACGGAGACUCUGCUGCGGAGCUGUCUGGCCGCGGACGUUCCGUUCUUCAUCAACGUGAGCAGCGUGGAGGCGUUCGGGCCGAACCGGCGGGGAGACCCGGUACCCGACGGGGACGAGGACACGCCGUACGACAGCUCCACCCACUCUUUCUUCUACGCCACCACCAAGGCCGAGGCCGAGGCCAGGGUGAUGCAGCAUGACGGCAGAAGGACAGCCGGCGGCAAGACUCUCCGCACCUGCUCCCUCCGGCCCAUGGGCAUGUACGGGGAGGGGCUCAUGAACCUCUUCGUGGACAUAGAGAGGGCGGUCGCCAGCAAGCAGUCCACCUACGCCGUCGCCAACGACAGGACCCAGCGGUGCACCUUCGUGUACCUGGACAACUUCCUCCACGCCCUCCGACUCGCCGUGGACAGGUUCGUCGCCGCCCCCGACGUCGUCGGCGGGCAGGUCUACUUCAUCAGCGACGACACGCCCGUCAACAACUACGUAGACCACCGGAAGAAUUUCCUGAUGGCGAUCGGCUUCACCCCGGAAGAGAAGCCCUUCCUGCCGAUUCGCGUGCUCUAUGCGUUGGGGCUUUUCUUUGAGUUCAUUCGGUGGGUCCUCUCCCCUGUCUACAACUUCCAACCGCCCUGGACUGCAGGGCUCAUCCUGGUAUCCAAUACUACCAUGUGCCUCAAGUAUGACAAGGCCACAAGGGAUCUCGGGUACAAGCCCGUGGUGCCAUGGGAAGAGGCCAAAAAGCGCACGGUGGAUUGGAUAGUGGCAUACUGGGCAUCGCGACAGGGCUGACCUAGUGACUGAAGGAUGGCAUCAGAAAACGUUGGGGCCUAUACUACUACCUAACAUUCAAAUUUGUAAUGGUUGAAUGCUUUAAUAUUGAAUAUUCUGAUCUUUUACAUGAGUCGUGGGGAACAUAUCAAAUAGUUCCUAUUAUGUGUCAACCUCUCUACAAAGUGUAUGAACUUGGAGGCAUCAAACGCCACAACAAUGUUUAGGAAAACAAAUAUACUCAUUAUGCACUGAUUAUUGAUCAACGACAUGACAGAGGGCUUUUAAGUAUCCGACCUAUGUUACGCUUCAGGACUUUCCUUAUAUUCUUCUUUCUUUUUAUUCUUCUUAUUCUUCAUCAGCAUCUCAUUGAAUAACAAGAGGUUCCACAAUUGAACUGACAUCAGAGCGAAGCCAAUGUGAACCCGUGGUGGUCCUGUUCUCAGGUUCUCACCAGUGCCCUAGACGUUUCCAGUGAGACCAUCAUGCUCUCUCACCACGUUUCCACCUUGUCAUCACUUCUGCUGAUAUGCUCAAAAGUUAGAAACUCAGUAAUAUUGUACCCAGAGUUACAAAAUAUUUCCGAUGAUACAUUGGAUCACUCUGAAGGUUUGUGAUGGAUUGUUG